rnacentral:rRNA from 1 species
UUUCGCAGGCUGAUAGUUUAGUCUGAUCUUAAAGACCGCGGCUCAACUGCGGGAAUGGGUUGGAUACUGGCUAUCUAGAGGACAUCAGGGGAGACUGGAAUUCUCGGUGGAGGGGUGAAAUCCGUUGAUAUCGAGAGGAACGUCGAUGGCGAAGGCAAGUCUCUGGGGUGUUCCUGACGCUCAUGUACGAAAGCUUGGGUAGCAAACG